CGAGCGGGAGAGGAGAAAGAUGCAACGUACGGCAUUGUUGUUGCUAUGGAGGAGGAGGAGGAGGAGGAGAGAGAAAACGAAGGACGAGGUGAAGACAAGCGCGGUCGCAGAGGGAGGUCCGGAUGAAUGAGACAAUAGCGCCGGGCGAGGAAGCCGCGACGCUUGAUUAUCAUCGGAGAAGUCAUCAGGGCGUCCCGCCGCCUCGCGCCCCCCCCCCACCCCCCUUCCACAGCCCGUCCUGCCCACCGCGCCUUCCCCUGUGUCACCCCUCGUCAAGAUAGGGGCGCCUCCUCUUGACAGCACCCUGACGAAGCCUGGCUGUCACAUCCUUGCUGUUGCUCGACCGCUAGCUUCUCCGAGGAUGAUUGCGGCUGGCGGAAACAAAAGGCCGAGGAAAAGUGCGGCGAAGAGGGAGAGGGAGGAUAAAUGAGC